CAGUAGCCGCGGUAAUACGUAGGGUGCGAGCGUUAAUCGGAAUUACUGGGCGUAAAGCGUGCGCAGGCGGUUCGUUAAGACAGAUGUGAAAUCCCCGGGCUUAACCUGGGAAUGGCGCUUGUGACUGCAAAGCUAGAGUGCGGCAGAGGGGGAUGGAAUUCCGCGUGUAGCAGUGAAAUGCGUAGAUAUGCGGAGGAACACCGAUGGCGAAGGCAAUCCCCUGGGCCUGCACUGACGCUCAUGCACGAAAGCGUGGGGAGCAAACAGGAUUAGAUACCCCCGUAGUCCCUGUCUCUUAUAC
rnacentral:rRNA from 1 species